CGGGGCGUGGCGCAGUUCGGCAGCGCACCUGCUUUGGGAGCAGGGGGUCGGGAGUUCAAAUCUCCCCGCCCCGACCA
rnacentral:tRNA from 1 species